rnacentral:rRNA from 1 species
GACGAACGCUGGCGGCGUGCUUAACACAUGCAAGUCGAACGGAAAGGCCCUGCUUUUGUGGGGUGCUCGAGUGGCGAACGGGUGAGUAACACGUGAGUAACCUGCCCUUGACUUUGGGAUAACUUCAGGAAACUGGGGCUAAUACCGGAUAGGAGCUCCUGCUGCAUGGUGGGGGUUGGAAAGUUUCGGCGGUUGGGGAUGGACUCGCGGCUUAUCAGCUUGUUGGUGGGGUAGUGGCUUACCAAGGCUUUGACGGGUAGCCGGCCUGAGCGGGUGACCGGCCACAUUGGGACUGAGAUACGGCCCAGAAUCCUACGGGAGGCAGCAGUGGGGAAUAUUGCACAAUGGGCGGAAGCCUGAUGCAGCAACGCCGCGUGCGGGAUGACGGCCUUCGGGUUGUAAACCGCUUUCGCCUGUGACGAAGCGUGAGUGACGGUAAUGGGUAAAGAAGCACCGGCUAACUACGUG